GCUCAUCUCUCUCGUCCACGUUGCGUCGACUCAUCACCCACCGCCUCGGCCUCCAUAUCUCCCGCAGUACCGUGGGCAUGCGGACUCCGGAAUCUUUCGAAAGGAAGCCAAUAAAUCAUUAUCCCAACCGUAAUUAAUGCACAACAGUGAAGGCUGGACCUUUGGUUACACCUCUCUCUCUCUCUCUCCAGCCUCAACCCCUUCUAAUCUUAUCUACGAUCCCCACCCCUGACCUUCUCCAUAUCAACUCCCUUGUUUAGAGCUCUGAGACCACCGAACCGAGACAGGAGAAAGAGAAUAACAUUAGAGAGAGAUGAGUGGGAGUGGGAUGGCGUCGAUGGCCCAAGGGGUGGCGAACGCUGGGCCCAUGGGGGGAAGCGGGGUGCCGCAGAAGGGGAAGGAGAGGGCCAGCUCGUUCCAGGUGCCGUCGCACCGGCCCCGCGGCGGCGGUGGCGGCAGGGCCGACAGCGAGGCCAUGCCGGAGUGGAAGCUCAAACUGCUUUGCACCGAUCACGGCGUGCCGCCGACCAUGAGAGGAAGCUUGCAUCUGGGUGGUUGCUUCUGAAAACAAAUAUUACGGGCGGACAUACGUCCCAACCUAUUUCUAAUUUCUAUGGACAUGGUGUGAUGGAUUUAAUGUUUGUAUGGUUUGAUGGAUUUCUAUGUUCUAUGUUUCUAUUUCUGUUUAAUAUUUUUAUGUUUGUAUAGUUGAAUCACUCUAUCUCUCUCUCUCUUUCAUGUGGAAUUAGAGGGGAGUUUGUGUAAAUGUUCAUGAUGAUCUUGUGUUAUCAUAUGUAUGAUUGGGUUUCUAAAUUGCUUUUGGAAGGACCAGAAAAAUUAUUAUGAAGAUCAAAAUAUCAUGAAAUUACAGUUUCUUGUUAGGAUGGAUUCUCUUUUUAGGAUUCCUAAUUCAGCUGGAAUUUUUUUUUAAUCCAGG
rnacentral:lncRNA from 1 species